GGUCUCGUAGUGUAGCGGUUAACACGCCUGCCUGUCACGCAGGAGAUCGCGGCUUCGAUUCCCGUCGAGACCGCCA
rnacentral:tRNA from 44 species